UCGCUGUCGAGUGCUGUCUACGAACAGCGC
rnacentral:sRNA from 1 species